CUAAUUGGCCAAUACAUGUGCCACCUGGCCAAACACCUCAAUGGUUAAUUGUUACCAAUUCAAUCAGGAAGUAAGCACUAUGAAAAGACCACAGGUGAGCACCUUUUGUUUUACAACAACAAUGGAAGCCGUUGCAGAGAGAGGAAGAGGAAGAGGGAGGGUGAGAAUGAGAGGGGGAGGAAGAGUGAGAGGUAGGGGUAGAGCUGGUAGAGGAGUUCAUGGCCAAAGAAGACAACAACUUUCAAAUGAAAUCAGAGCAACCUUAGUUGAUCAUGUCAUCAACCAUGGGCUGACAAUGCGAGAGGCUGGACAGAGAGUGCAGCCCAACUUGAGCUGUUUUAUUGUUGCCUGUGUCAUCUGGACAUUUAGACUGGAGUACAGGACUGAGAGAUGUAACCAUGGUGGAGGAAGGGGCCAAAUGUUCACCGGGGUACAGGAAGCUGCCAUUGUAAACUUGGUUUUGGAAAAUAAUGAAAUCCGAUUACGAGAAAUUCAAAGCCACAUCAUCCAAGACAACACCAUAUUCAACCACAUUCAACGAGUCAGUCUGUCCACAUUGGCUCGCAUUCUCAAGCGAAAGCAAAUCAGAAUGAAACAACUUUAUAAGGUGCCGUUUGAGAGAAACUCUCAAAGAAACAGAGGUCAGACGAGCAUAUGUGGAUGGAGUACUGGAAAUGGAUGCUCAUGCAAUCCCACGAGUUCAUCUUUAUAGUUGAGGCUGGGUUCAACCUAGCAAAGACCAGAAGAAGGGUGAGAAACGUCAUUGGCCACAGCCAUUAUAGAUGUUCCUGUCCAACGUGGUGGGAACAUCACAAUGUGUGCUGCCAUCUCCAAUACGCAUGGUGUCCUCCACCGUCAUGCCAACCUUGGACCAUACAACACAGCCCAUAUUCUCUGGACAGACUCCACAACAUUCUCAUACCACCAGAGCGUAUGAAUGAUGCAGACCAUCAAAGAACCCGGUACGUUGUAGUAUGGGACAACGUGAGCUUUCAUCGUGCAGCCCCAGUCCAAAACUGGUUUGCUGACCACCCACCAUUUCAAGUGCAAUACCUCCCACCAUACUCACCAUUUCUGAACCCCAUAGAAGAGUUAUUUUCAGCAUGGCGAUGGAAGGUAUACGACCAGCAGCCCUUUGUGCUCAUGCCUCUUGUGCAGGCUAUGGAAGAGGCAUGUGAUGAGAUUGAAGUGGGUGUGAUUCAGGGAUGGAUAAGGCACUCAAGGCGCUUCUUCCCUCGAUGUCUGGCAAGGGAAGAUAUUGCCUGUGAUGUAGACGAGGCGUUGUGGCCAGACCCAGCUUUGCGGCAAAAUGCUGCCUAAUUAUUUUUCUUGCCUCUUUUUUUUCUUUUUCUGCACAUUUUUUCUGCAAUUUUCUUUUUCAGUUUACUGUUUUUGUGAGCAUAUUUUUGUUCAGUCCAAUGUAAAUAUAUCUGCUGUGCAUAUGUUGCACUGACUUGUUUGGUGAAAAAUAAAAUGUUUCAACAGCAUGUGU